GUAAAGAAAAAAACAAUUGUGUGGUCGAGGGGAUGCUUGACGGGAAGAGAGAGGAGGCGCUCGUGGCAGCCGAGGCGCGAGAGGGGCGAGCGAGGUGAUCCAGAUUGAUGCAUGCGAGGGUAGCGAUCUAGCCGACGAGGUGAUCCAGCAGACGCGCAUGAUGCGGAUGAAUCAGUGGCCGUCCGAUCCAGCCGAUGCGGUCGAUCCGUUUGUGAAGUUGAAAAGGCGAACGCAGUUGAUGAUUGUGGGCGCCUCAUCUGUUGGAAACUGCUCGCAAUCAUACUUGGGUUUCUAAGGGUUCAUUCAUGGUGAUUGAUAUGCUAAUCCUUUCCACUGCAGGGUGCUAUGUCUAUAUAUUCUUCCUCCCUAACACUCUUGGCUC
rnacentral:lncRNA from 1 species